UACAGAGGUCUCAAGCGUUGUUCGGAUUCAUUGGGCGUAAAGGGCGCGCAGGCGGUCUUGCAAGUCAGAUGUGAAAGCCCCGGGCUUAACCUGGGAAUUGCAUUUGAUACUCUGGAGCUUGAGUACGGGAGAGGAGAGUGGAAUUCCCAGUGUAGAGGUGAAAUUCGUAGAUAUUGGGAAGAACACCGGUGGCGAAGGCGGCUCUCUGGACCGUAACUGACGCUGAGGAGCGAAAGCGUGGGGAGCAAACAGG
rnacentral:rRNA from 1 species